rnacentral:rRNA from 1 species
GGAGCAGCCCAGAGCCUGAAUCAGUGUGUGUGUUAGUGGAAGCGUCUGGAAAGGCGUGCGAUACAGGGUGACAGCCCCGUACACAAAAAUGCACAUAUUGUGAGCUCGAUGAGUAGGGCGGGACACGUGGUAUCCUGUCUGAAUAUGGGGGGACCAUCCUCCAAGGCUAAAUACUCCUGACUGACCGAUAGUGAACCAGUACCGUGAGGGAAAGGCGAAAAGAACCCCGGCGAGGGGAGUGAAAAAGAACCUGAAACCGUGUACGUACAAGCAGUGGGAGCACGCUUAGGCGUGUGACUGCGUACCUUUUGUAUAAUGGGUCAGCGACUUAUAUUCUGUAGCAAGGUUAACCGAAUAGGGGAGCCGAAGGGAAACCGAGUCUUAACUGGGCGUUAAGUUGCAGGGUAUAGACCCGAAACCCGGUGAUCUAGCCAUGGGCAGGUUGAAGGUUGGGUAACACUAACUGGAGGACCGAACCGACUAAUGUUGAAAAAUUAGCGGAUGACUUGUGGCUGGGGGUGAAAGGCCAAUCAAACCGGGAGAUAGCUGGUUCUCCCCGAAAGCUAUUUAGGUAGCGCCUCGUGAAUUCAUCUCCGGGGGUAGAGCACUGUUUCGGCAAGGGGGUCAUCCCGACUUACCAACCCGAUGCAAACUGCGAAUACCGGAGAAUGUUAUCACGGGAGACACACGGCGGGUGCUAACGUCCGUCGUGAAGAGGGAAACAACCCAGACCGCCAGCUAAGGUCCCAAAGUCAUGGUUAAGUGGGAAACGAUGUGGGAAGGCCCAGACAGCCAGGAUGUUGGCUUAGAAGCAGCCAUCAUUUAAAGAAAGCGUAAUAGCUCACUGGUCGAGUCGGCCUGCGCGGAAGAUGUAACGGGGCUAAACCAUGCACCGAAGCUGCGGCAGCGACACUAUGUGUUGUUGGGUAGGGGAGCGUUCUGUAAGCCUGUGAAGGUGUACUGUGAGGUAUGCUGGAGGUAUCAGAAGUGCGAAUGCUGACAUAAGUAACGAUAAAGCGGGUGAAAAGCCCGCUCGCCGGAAGACCAAGGGUUCCUGUCCAACGUUAAUCGGGGCAGGGUGAGUCGACUCCUAAGGCGAGGCCGAAAGGCGUAGUCGAUGGGAAACAGGUUAAUAUUCCUGUACUUGGUGUUACUGCGAAGGGGGGACGGAGAAGGCUAUGUUGGCCGGGCGACGGUUGUCCCGGUUUAAGCGUGUAGGCUGGUUUUCCAGGCAAAUCCGGAAAACUAAGGCUGAGGCGUGAUGACGAGGCACUACGGUGCUGAAGCAACAAAUGCCCUGCUUCCAGGAAAAGCCUCUAAGCAUCAGGUAACAUCAAAUCGUACCCCAAACCGACACAGGUGGUCAGGUAGAGAAUACCAAGGCGCUUGAGAGAACUCGGGUGAAGGAACUAGGCAAAAUGGUGCCGUAACUUCGGGAGAAGGCACGCUGAUAUGUAGGUGAAGUCCCUCGCGGAUGGAGCUGAAAUCAGUCGAAGAUACCAGCUGGCUGCAACUGUUUAUUAAAAACACAGCACUGUGCAAACACGAAAGUGGACGUAUACGGUGUGACGCCUGCCCGGUGCCGGAAGGUUAAUUGAUGGGGUCAGCGCAAGCGAAGCUCUUGAUCGAAGCCCCGGUAAACGGCGGCCGUAACUAUAACGGUCCUAAGGUAGCGAAAUUCCUUGUCGGGUAAGUUCCGACCUGCACGAAUGGCGUAAUGAUGGCCAGGCUGUCUCCACCCGAGACUCAGUGAAAUUGAACUCGCUGUGAAGAUGCAGUGUACCCGCGGCAAGACGGAAAGACCCCGUGAACCUUUACUAUAGCUUGACACUGAACAUUGAGCCUUGAUGUGUAGGAUAGGUGGGAGGCUUUGAAGUGUGGACGCCAGUCUGCAUGGAGCCGACCUUGAAAUACCACCCUUUAAUGUUUGAUGUUCUAACGUUGACCCGUAAUCCGGGUUGCGGACAGUGUCUGGUGGGUAGUUUGACUGGGGCGGUCUCCUCCUAAAGAGUAACGGAGGAGCACGAAGGUUGGCUAAUCCUGGUCGGACAUCAGGAGGUUAGUGCAAUGGCAUAAGCCAGCUUGACUGCGAGCGUGACGGCGCGAGCAGGUGCGAAAGCAGGUCAUAGUGAUCCGGUGGUUCUGAAUGGAAGGGCCAUCGCUCAACGGAUAAAAGGUACUCCGGGGAUAACAGGCUGAUACCGCCCAAGAGUUCAUAUCGACGGCGGUGUUUGGCACCUCGAUGUCGGCUCAUCACAUCCUGGGGCUGAAGUAGGUCCCAAGGGUAUGGCUGUUCGCCAUUUAAAGUGGUACGCGAGCUGGGUUUAGAACGUCGUGAGACAGUUCGGUCCCUAUCUGCCGUGGGCGCUGGAGAACUGAGGGGGGCUGCUCCUAGUACGAGAGGACCGGAGUGGACGCAUCACUGGUGUUCGGGUUGUCAUGCCAAUGGCACUGCCCGGUAGCUAAAUGCGGAAGAGAUAAGUGCUGAAAGCAUCUAAGCACGAAACUUGCCCCGAGAUGAGUUCUCCCUGACUCCUUGAGAGUCCUGAAGGAACGUU